rnacentral:ncRNA from 2 species
AUCCUGCCGACUAUGCCA